CAAGUCGAGCGGUAACAGAAAGUAGCUUGCUACUUCUGCUGACGAGCGGCGGACGGGUGAGUAAUGCUUGGCCAACAUGCCUUGAGGUGGGGGACAACAGUUGGAAACGACUGCUAAUACCGCAUAAUGUCUACGGACCAAAGGGGGCUUCGGCUCUCGCCUUUAGAUUGGCCCAAGUGGGAUUAGCUAGUUGGUGAGGUAAUGGCUCACCCAAGGCAACCGAUCCCUAGCUGGUUUGAGAGGAUGAUCAGCCACACUGGGACUGAGACACGGCCCAGACUCCUACGGGAGGCAGCAGUGGGGAAUAUUGCACAAUGGGCGCAAGCCUGAUGCAGCCAUCCCGCGUGUGUGAAGAAGGCCUUCGGGUUGUAAAGCACUUUCAGUCAGGAGGAAAGGUUAGUAGUUAAUACCUGCUAGCUGUGACGUUACUGACAGAAGAAGCACCGGCUAACUCCGUGCCAGCAGCCGCGGUAAUACGGAGGGUGCGAGCGUUAAUCGGAAUUACUGGGCGUAAAGCGUACGCAGGCGGUUUGUUAAGCGAGAUGUGAAAGCCCCGGGCUCAACCUGGGAACUGCAUUUCGAACUGGCAAACUAGAUUGUGAGAGAGGGUGGAU
rnacentral:rRNA from 1 species